rnacentral:rRNA from 1 species
AGUGAACGCUGGCGGUAGGCCUAACACAUGCAAGUCGAACGGCAGCACAGUAAGAUCUUGCUCUUACGGGUGGCGAGUGGCGGACGGGUGAGGAAUACAUCGGAAUCUACUUUUUCUUGGGUGAUAACGUAGGGAAACUUACGCUAAUACCGCAUACUACCUACGGGUGAAAGCAGGGGAUCUUCGGACCUUUCGCGAUUGAAUGAGCCGAUGUCGGAUUAGCUAGUUGGCGGGGUAAAGGCCCACCAAGGCGACGAUCCGUAGCUGGUCUGAGAGGAUGAUCAGCCACACUGGAACUGAGACACGGUCCAGACUCCUACGGGAGGCAGCAGUGGGGAAUAUUGGACAAAGGGCGAAAGCCUGAUCCAGCCAUACCGCGUGGGUGAAGAAGGCCUUCGGGUUGUAAAGCCCUUUUGUUGGGAAAGAAAAGCAGCAGGUUAAUACCCCGCUGUUCUGACGGUACCCAAAGAAUAAGCACCGGCUAACUUCGUG